AGCUCCAAUAGCGUAUAUUAAAGUUGCUGCAGUUAAAAAGCUCGUAGUUGCAUUUCCGAGGCAAGGGAUUAGUCCGACCUUUGGUGGGUAUUUAAUCCUCUUGCCUCGUCCUUGAGUGGUGCUUCUUGGUAUUAAGUUAUCGAGGAGAUAGCCGCUCAUCGUUUACUGUGAGAAAAUUAGAGUGUUCAAAGCAGGCUUAUGCCGUUGAAUAUAUUAGCAUGGAAUAAUAAGAUAAGACCUCGGUACUAUUUUGUUGGUUUGAGAACCAAGGUAAUGAUGAAUAGGGACAGUUGGGGGUAUUCGUAUUCAGUUGUCAGAGGUGAAAUUCUUAGAUUUUCGGAAGACGAACUACUGCGAAAGCAUUUACCAAGGAUGUUUUCA
rnacentral:rRNA from 1 species